AUUGAACGCUGGCGGCAGGCCUAACACAUGCAAGUCGAGCGGAUGAAGGGAGCUUGCUCCUGGAUUCAGCGGCGGACGGGUGAGUAAUGCCUAGGAAUCUGCCUGGUAGUGGGGGAUAACGUCCGGAAACGGGCGCUAAUACCGCAUACGUCCUGAGGGAGAAAGUGGGGGAUCUUCGGACCUCACGCUAUCAGAUGAGCCUAGGUCGGAUUAGCUAGUUGGUGGGGUAAAGGCCUACCAAGGCGACGAUCCGUAACUGGUCUGAGAGGAUGAUCAGUCACACUGGAGCUGAGACACGGUCCAGACUCCUACGGGAGGCAGCAGUGGGGAAUGUUGGACAAUAGGCGAAAGCCUGAUCCAACCAUGCCGCGUGUGUGGAGAAGGUCUUCGGAUUGUAAAGCACUUUAAGUUGGGAGGAAGGGCAGUAAGUUAAUACCUUGCUGUUGUGACGUUACCAGCAGAAUAAGCACCGGCUAACUUCGUG
rnacentral:rRNA from 1 species